CAGCAGCCGCGGUAAUACAGAGGGUGCGAGCGUUAAUCGGAUUUACUGGACGUAAAGCGUGCGUAGGCGGCUUUUUAAGUCGGAUGUGAAAUCCCUGAGCUUAACUUAGGAAUUGCAUUCGAUACUGGGAAGCUAGAGUAUGGGAGAGGAUGGUAGAAUUCCAGGUGUAGCGGUGAAAUGCGUAGAGAUCUGGAGGAAUACCGAUGGCGAAGGCAGCCAUCUGGCCUAAUACUGACGCUGAGGUACGAAAGCAUGGGGAGCAAACAGGAUUAGAUACCCCUGUAGUCCCUGUCUCUUAUAC
rnacentral:rRNA from 1 species